UACGAAGGGGGGCUAGCGUUGUUCGGAUUUACUGGGCGUAAAGCGCACGUAGGCGGAUCGUUAAGUCAGGGGUGAAAUCCUGGAGCUCAACUCCAGAACUGCCUUUGAUACUGGCGAUCUUGAGUCCGGAAGAGGUGAGUGGAACUCCUAGUGUAGAGGUGGAAUUCGUAGAUAUUAGGAAGAACACCAGUGGCGAAGGCGGCUCACUGGUCCGGUACUGACGCUGAGGCACGAAAGCGUGGGGAGCAAACAGGG
rnacentral:rRNA from 1 species